AUGGCAUCGACCAGCAGCAAGGGGAAGGGGAAGCUCGAGGAUCUGAUGGAGGAACUCGCCCUAAAAGAAGAUGACUUAGAUGAUGUCGUUUUUGAGGAGGACGAUGCGCCACCGGCGGAGGAUCUUCGGUGGAUGAUCUUGGUUUGUGUCCACAUCGACAAAGACUUCAGUAGUUACUAGUUUUUUCGCAACAUGCGAUCUGCGUGGGAUCUUGCAAGAAGGGUCAAGAUAAAAACCCUAGAAGAGAACUUGUUCAUUAUGCAGUUUGAGUGCUUAGGGGACUGGGAA
rnacentral:rRNA from 1 species